AGCGAACGUUAGCGGCGGGCCUAACACAUGCAAGUCGAGCGAGAAAGCGGCUUCGGCCGUUAGUAAAGCGGCGGACGGGUGAGUAACACGUGGAUAAUCUGCCCUUCAGCGGGGGAUAACUGUCCGAAAGGAUAGCUAAUACCGCGUACGUCGGCGAGGACCUCGGUUCUUGUCGGGAAAGCAGCCCUCUUCAUGAAAGGUUGCACUGAAGGAUGAGUCCGCGUCCCAUCAGCUAGUUGGUGAGGUAAUGGCUCACCAAGGCUUAGACGGGUAGCUGGUCUGAGGGGAUGAUCAGCCACACUGGAACUGAGACACGGUCCAGACUCCUACGGGAGGCAGCAGUGGGGAAUAUUGGGCAAUGGGCGCAAGCCUGACCCAGCCACGCCGCGUGAGUGAUGAAGGCCUUCGGGUCGUAAAGCUCUGUGGGGAGCGACGAAAAAACGCUGGCUAACAUCCAGCGGACUGACGGUAGCUCCUUAGCAAGCACCGGCUAACUCUGUGCCAGCAGCCGCGGUAAGAC
rnacentral:rRNA from 1 species